rnacentral:misc_RNA from 1 species
UCAAACUUGGUCAUUUAGAGGAAGUAAAAGUCGUAACAAGGUUUCCGUAGGUGAACCUGCGGAAGGAUCAUUAAUGAAGUUUGAUGAAGUAUACUCUACUUCCACUUCUCACCCUUUGCUUAAUUCAAAUCUUUGUUUGCUUCGGCAUGUCAGUCUUCAUUGACGGUCGGUUUUGAUCUGAUCAGAACGGAUUUGUUACUGCCGAUAGCCCUCAUGAACAUUCUUUGAUAUAAAUCAUGUCUGACGAUUUUUUAUACCAAAUAAAAAAAACAAAACUUUCAACAACGGAUCUCUUGGUUCUGGCAUCGAUGAAGAACGCAGC